rnacentral:rRNA from 1 species
AUUGAACGCUGGCGGCAUGCUUUACACAUGCAAGUCGAACGGCAGCGCGGGGCAACCUGGCGGCGAGUGGCGAACGGGUGAGUAAUAUAUCGGAACGUACCCAAGAGUGGGGGAUAACGUAGCGAAAGUUACGCUAAUACCGCAUACGAUCUAUGGAUGAAAGCAGGGGAUCUUCGGACCUUGUGCUCCUGGAGCGGCCGAUAUCUGAUUAGCUAGUUGGUGAGGUAAAGGCUCACCAAGGCGACGAUCAGUAGCUGGUCUGAGAGGACGACCAGCCACACUGGAACUGAGACACGGUCCAGACUCCUACGGGAGGCAGCAGUGGGGAAUUUUGGACAAUGGGCGCAAGCCUGAUCCAGCAAUGCCGCGUGAGUGAAGAAGGCCUUCGGGUUGUAAAGCUCUUUUGUCAGGGAAGAAACGGCUAGGGCUAAUAUCCUCGGCUAAUGACGGUACCUGAAGAAUAAGCACCGGCUAACUACGUGCCAGCCGCCGCGGUAAUAC